GAUGAAGAACGUAGCGAAAUGCGAUAAGUAAUGUGAAUUGCAGAAUUCAGUGAAUCAUCGAAUCUUUGAACGCACCUUGCACCCUUUGGUAUUCCGAAGGGUAUGCUCGUUUGAGUGUCAUUGUACUCUCACACUUCCGAUCGUUUGGAUCGGGAGCGGUGGACUUGGGUGUUGCUGCUUUACUGUGGCUCACCUUAAAUGCAUUAGUGCACCUUUCGGUUGGACAUAGUACGGCGUGAUAAGUGUCUUCGCCGGCACCUCACAGAGGGUGGCUGAUCGGGAGCUCUGUGCUUCAAACCGUCUUCGGACAACAUCUGACAACUUGACCUCAAAUCGAGUAGGACUACCCGCUGAACUUAAGCAUAUCAAUAAGCGGAGGA
rnacentral:misc_RNA from 1 species